GCUUUCCACGGAAACCUGGCCUGCUUCUCCUCCAGAACCGCCCACCACAUCUAGUUUGUUCAGACGUGUCUACUGAGCGGGAAGAAAGUCAGAGGUCUCCCUGUUGUUUUUAACAGUGACUCCUCUCUGUCCAAAGCCUCCCUCAGAAGUUUUGCCAGAAGAUUCUAAGAAAGGCUAGCAGGGGGGAUGUUUGAAUACACAUUUGCAACGACGAUUCAAAGCCUGCAAUUUACAUACCCAGAGAGAACUGUCCUGGUGAGAAAGAUGAGACAUGGCUUUGCUUGGGAGAAGCUGAAAUGAAGAGAGCAUGAGCUCAGGUUUCUAGGUAGCCCAGGUCCACGCUCGAAGGAAGAGCAGCCACUGCCCAGGACGGAAUACCAAGAUCUCAAGUCUGCGAGGCCACCCCCCGGCAUAACCAGUCUGGCCAGAAGUGUUGAUGAUGUGACCACAUCGCUUUGAUCUUGCCUCCAAUUCCUGGUAGAAAUGUUCCCCCCAAUGUACCCUGAAGGGUGCCCAUGAGGUUGUCAUUGUGGUUUGUCUCCCAAGUAAAGACAUUUUAAAACAAAUGUUUUUGUACUCCAGGAAGGAAAUCACUUCUUUUUAAGCAGUAACUAAAAAAAGUGGAAAUUACCAGAACCUUGAACCAGUUACUUUAAUUCACAGCAAACCGAACUCUUCUUUUUCAAAUUUUACUGCGAUAUUAUUGCACAUGAGCUCACUUUCUAGAUUCAUCACCAAGACGCGAAACCAAGAGUGAAAUAGAAUAAAGUCUUCCUGGACGUAGACAGCAGCAACGUCUUCCCUAAAACAGCCCUGAAUACUUCUGGCCUUUGAAUGAGGACCGUGUUUUAUGCCAUCAUACAUCUAGAAGCAUGAUGAGGGCAGAAUUUGCUGGAAGAGUCCCCAUAUUUAACGACCAAGCGCCCAUCCAGAAACCUACAUGUUGGAUGCUAUGUGGAAUACUUUUGCCAACACAGCUGCCCACAAAUGCAAAGACUCUUUUUUUCAGAGAGUACAUGAAACUACAUUUAUUCUAAGAAACCAGUUCCAGGGGCCUCUUUGAUAGCAGUAUUUAAUUUCUUUUGGACCUUCCGAAUACUUUAUAUAGUUAAAUACCUGGUAACCAUCCAAAGCUCUCAAUAGAAAGGAUAAGUAAAUAAAAGGUAGCCAGAAAAAAAA